GGUAGCGUGUCCGAGCGGCCGAAGGUGCUCGCCUCGAAAGCGAGUGUUGGGUAACUCCCAACCGCGGGUUCAAAUCCCGCCGCUACCGCCA
rnacentral:tRNA from 1 species